UUUCCCUUUUAUGAAAAUCCUGGAAAUUCCCUCUCCAGCCUUACAUUCUGAAAGCCAUACUUCUAAGUUACAUAUCUUCCCACUUCUUGAUUCUUUCUUUUGGGUAAAAUAAUUCUUCAUUAACUUUUUCUGGUUAAUGGGUGCAUGGAAAGAAACUUUAAGACAUUUCACAUAUUACUAUUGAGUGAUUGUUCCGCUUUGUACGUUUCAUGAAGAAAGAAGCUCUGCUUGUCUCAUUUAUUGCUGCAUCUUCCUUGCAGUGCAAUUUGAGGAAAACAAGAAGGCAGAUGUUUUGCCAUUGAGCCAGAAUUAAGGUUGUCAAUUCCAAGGACAAGAUUUGGCAGCAUUCCUGCAACACAAAAAUGUUAUCACUAGGAGUCACUGGCAUGUCAUAGAUCUGGGUUUCCUCCAAGGAGCAUGGCAAGUGCCCUGAGUUGUACUUCUUUCACACCCAUGGAAAAAAGAGCCCAUUAAGGAUAAAUGCAUCAUCUAUGAUCAUAAUUGAAAGUGGUACAGCAACUACUGCAGCCUGGAUUCUCCACCUGUGCCUACUUUUUAUGCGUAACAUUUAACUUUUCUUAUUCACAAAAAUGGCAUAGUUGGAUAUCUUUAUUGCAUACUUUUUGAAAGAAUUUUUGAUGUUAAUUAAGAAUUUCUCUCAGAUCACAAUACAUACCAUCAGAACUGCAUAUUUUUAUUAUGCCCUAAAUAUUUCCUCCUCACCCCU
rnacentral:lncRNA from 1 species